AACCGAGAUGAGUCACUUUGAGAAUUUGGUGAUGUGUACCUUUAAAACAUGGCUUAAUCAGUGACCAAAACAGCAAAGAGACCCGUUGUCUUUCCUUCUGCGGGUCCCCAGACAAUGAGACGCCAGGGCCCUGACAUACAGAAGCAGGAGUGCUGUCAGGAGCUUGGCCCCUUCACAACUGAUAAAUC